rnacentral:snRNA from 1 species
GUGCUCACUUAGGCAGCACAUAUACUAAAACUGGAAUGAUACAGAGAAGAUUAGCAUGGCCCCGGCACUAGCAAAUUCGUGAAGCAUUCCAUGUUUAA